rnacentral:lncRNA from 1 species
CCGGAGCUCGGGGCGGUGCGGGACCGGGCGCACGAUGCGCUGCGGGGCUCUGGCUCUGGCGCUGCUCUGCGCGCUGCCCCUGGGAGCGGCGGGGCUGGAGCUUCCCGAGACGGGCUCAGGGCUGCAAGCAGAUGAAGUGAACCUGCUGGACAAAAUGACUUCUCAAUUAAAGGACCUCAGCAAUGUUUCCUUCAGCUACGAUGAGGCCAACUGCAGCACUCUGCAGAUCGGGCAGUACUCCACCCUCAGCAUUCCUACACAGGAGGUGUUUGGGGACAGGUUUGCAGAUGAGCUGAGUGUGCUGAUGAAGCUCAGGUACUCACUGCAGGAGGACACCAGCCUGUUGACCAUCCUGAGCCAUCGGAGCCAUGUGCUCUUCCAGAUCCGGGUUAGCCCAUAUGGUUUGGUCUUUGUCACCACGAGGAGGAGGCACUAUGAGUUCCCUGUGUCCCUGCUCAGUGAUGGGCGCUGGCACCGAGUUGCACUCAGCAUCUCCCAGGAGAGCCUGGAGCUGCACGUGGACUGUCGGCUGGUGGAGAGAGCCAGCUGGCCUGGCUACCUGGGGAUGGGUGUGGGCACCGAGGGGCUGCUCAUCAUCGGAGGUCUGGUGGAGUCCUUUGAGAUCCCCUUUGAGGGAGCUCUGCAGCAGCUGACCUUUGUGAUGGGGGAUGCAGCAGCAGCUGGCGAGCAUUGCCACAGCCACACCGUGACAUGUGUGCACUCCUCUGGCCUCAGUCCUCCUCCGAGGGACCACUCUGCAGCAUGGGCAGAGGAUUCCAAGCUCUCCCAUCCAGAUUUGACUUUGGGCCCACCUUGGACAUGGGAGGAUGCCCAGGAGACCCUUAGCCUGCAGCCAGAUGGGAGCAUCCGGACUUUGUUCUCCGCUGCUGAAGUGCCAACAGCUGAAGAGCUGGAGGAGGAAGAGGGAAGCCUUUCCAUUGAGGAUGAAGGCUUUGAGCUGUUGAACUCCACCUAUAAUAAAAUCCCUGGCAGGCCAGGGAUCAGCAGGAGCAGACCACAGAUCAUUGGCAUCCCCAGAUCAUCAGCCAAGAAGGAGCAAGCCUCUGACUCUGGGCAGGAGAACAUCACCAAAGAGAAGCUGAAGGGCAACGCAGACACCCACCUUCUCCUCCCACCCAUCAAGCCUGGCCAUGCCACCAACCCCAUUGCCUCCUCCAAAGUGUUCCCAUCGAGACAACACACAGCUGCACCCGAGGGUUCCUCAGGGAUGGCUGCAGGGGAUCCAGAGCAUCCUCCCACCCCCCUGGGGCACCCCAUCUUGCCAUCAGUGCGCGGAUAUCGGGCUCGUGUGAAGCCAGGACCCCCAGGGCUGCCAGGACCCCCAGGGCUGCCGGGGUGUCCUGGGAGACGUGGACUGGUGGGGCCCAAAGGAGACAAAGGUCACGCCGGAGCCAUGGGGCGGAUGGGACCCCCAGGGGACCCAGGCCCCAUAGGCAUCCCUGGCAUCCCCACUGUUGUCCUCUGGAGGAACUCCCGCGAGGACUGGCUGAGCUUCAUGCAAUCAUCCUUUUACCAGCUGCUGCACGCUGGCUGGCCGAGAAAACCCGGAGCCCCCGGACCCCCAGGGCACCCAGGGAAAGCAGGCAUACCGGUAAGCACAGCCACCUCCAAGUGCCCCUGCCUUCCCAUGGACGCUCUGGGUUCCCAAGAAAUCCUGAAUUCCCUCAAAAUCAGCUGUAAUUUGAGGGCUUGGGAUUCCAGCCUAAGGGUUUGCUUGUUGGUGGUCCACUGA